UACGUAGGGAGCAAGCGUUGUCCGGAAUCAUUGGGCGUAAAGCGCGCGUAGGUGGCCCUGUAAGUCCGUUGUGAAAGUCAAAGGCUCAACCUUUGAAAGCCGAUGGAUACUGCAGGGCUAGAGUACGGAAGAGGCGAGUGGAAUUCCUGGUGUAGCGGUGGAAUGCGCAGAUAUCAGGAGGAACACCAAUAGCGAAGGCAGCUCGCUGGGACGUUACUGACACUGAGGCGCGAAGGUCAGGGGAGCAAACGGG
rnacentral:rRNA from 1 species